GCGAGCAUAGUGUAGUGGUUAUCACGUUUGCUUUACACGCAAAAGGUCACCGGUUCGAACCCGGUUGCACGCA
rnacentral:tRNA from 1 species